UACGUAGGGGGCAAGCGUUGGUCCGGAUUUAUUGGGCGUAAAGAGCAGUGUAGGCGGCCAGGUAGGUCAGCUGUGAAACUCGAGGCUCAACCUCGAGACGUCGGUUGAAACCAUCUGGCUAGAGUCCGGAAGAGGAGAGUGGAAUUCCUGGUGUAGCGGUGGAAUGCGCAGAUAUCAGGAAGAACACCCGUGGCGAAGGCGCUCUCUGGAACGCAACUGACGCUGAGACGCGAAAGCGUGGGGAGCAAACAGG
rnacentral:rRNA from 1 species